AUUGAACGCUGGUGGCAGGCCUAACACCUGCAAGUCGAACGAGUGGCGGACGGGUGAGUAAUGUCUGGGAAACUGCCUGAUGGAGGGGGAUAACUACUGGAAAAGGUAGCUAAUACCGCAUCCCAUCGGAUGUGCCCAGAUGGGCUUAGCUAGUAGGUGGGGUAAAGGCUCACCUAGGAGACGAUCCCUAGCUGGUCUGAGAGGAUGACCAGCCACACUGGAACGGAGACACGGUCCAGACUCCUACGGGAGGCAGCAGUGGGGAAUAUUGCAAAAGUGGCGCAAGCCUGAUGCAGCCAUGCCGGGUGUAUGAAGAAGGCCUUCGGGGUGUAAAGUACUUUCAGCGAGGAGGCGUUACCCGCAGAAGAAGCACCGGCUAACUCCGUGCCAGCAGCCGCGGUAAUAC
rnacentral:rRNA from 1 species